rnacentral:rRNA from 1 species
GAUGAACGCUAGCGGGAGGCCUAACACAUGCACGCCGAGCGGUAUUGUUUCUUCGGAAAUGAGAGAGCGGCGUACGGGUGCGUAACACGUGUGCAACCUGACAUUAUCUGCGGGAUAGCCUUUCGAAAGGAAGAUUAAUACUCCAUAACAUUUUGACCGGCAUCGUUUAAUAUUGAAAGCUCCGGCGGAAAGAGAUGGGCAUGCGCAAGAUUAGCUAGUUGGUGAGGUAACGGAUCACACAGGCGAUGAUCUUGAGGGGGCCUGAGAGGGUGUUCCCCCACCAUGGUACUGAGACACGGACCAGACUCCUACGGGGGGCAGCAGUGAGGAAUAUUGGUCAAUGGGUGCAAGCCUGAACCAGCCAUCCCGCGUGAAGGACGACUGCCCUAUGGGUUGUAAACUUCUUUUGUAUAGGGAUAAACCUACCCUCGUGAGGGUAGCUGAAGGGACUAUACGAAUAAGCACCGGCUAACUCCGUGCCAGCAGCCGCGGUAA